UGGCAAAGCUCGUCAUGUCUUUAAAGCAUCUACUGAUUAAACUCAAAAAAUAUCACACCAACUCUUUCCACAAUCUACUCUACCCCCCUUUUAAUAGUGAGGGUCUGAUGCAUAUGAGGGGUGUGAGGAGAGACAGGUGCUUCAGUGAAGUGCUCUACUGCUGUUGCUAAUGCAAGUAUCUGAGCUGGUGAAGAUGGGCCUCCAACUGGUGUUGAUGAGAUUGGACCUGCUGCUGGUGCUGCUGAGGAUGGAUGUGUUGCUGCUGAUGGAGAGGAGGAAGGUGAUCUAGAUGUGACAAAGAUUUGGUACCACUUGUUACAAUAGAAAGAAAGAAGAAAUAUAAUAGACAUAAUUAAAUACAUGGAUUAGACCAAGAUCUACCUCUAUAGGGUACGCAAGCUUCAUUAUGAGGAAAAAAAUAGGUAUAAGAGGAGAUCACACCCUCUCAACUCUCAUGCACCAACCUCUCUCUUAACAAGUACUCACCUUGAUAAAAGCUCUCACAAAAUCUUUCAAGGAGAUCCUCUCAUAGGCUUGCCAAGUCAGGAUCCUCGAUGCCCCU
rnacentral:lncRNA from 1 species